UGCAAGUGUCUGAAAGUGCAAGUCAAAGAGUGCAAGUGCAAGUCUGCAGCCAGACCCUCUUGAAAGUUUUACAAAAUUACAAUACAAUGCCAUCACACAUUAUUUUUAAACGUUUGUUGUUGAUAAAAGUGAGACAGAAUUUAAUACCUCAUCCUUCAUAAACAACCAGAUAUCUGGCACCAUUUCACAUGUUCCCUCCUCUGAAAAUUCUACAAUUGCAUACAUUCUACAAAAAAGAAAAAAUCAUUAUAAAUGCGAAGGAUGAUGUGUACAUUUGUCUUAUACUACAUAUGACAUCCUGUUACCUUUGAUUAAAAUUCAUGGAGCACUGACAGAAAAAUCUCACUUCUCUCUUCUGUGCUAAUCUUAAUAGCAUGUUUUGUGAGUUCUGUUUUUGAAAUCCAUGAAAUGGUAUUGUGUUUUCUUUUGUAUUUGUAGGCACCAAUCAAAAAUGUCAUGCAUGGGCUGUCGAACAGUGGCUCAGGUUUACUGUAAACAUGGCAAAGCACUCUUUGUUCUUUGUCAGCCAAUUGCAGGACUUCACAGCAUUGACCACCGCUGAGGACAUAUGCACUGUCUUGGGUCUUGGUAGAGAUUUUGUCUACAGUUGUUGUUUUUUUCUGUUCGAUUUUCUCUUCCAGCCUCCUAGCAACCUGAAUCAGUGGGUUUCUACCAGAACGCACCAUCCUCUUGAGUGUCUGCAGGUAGUUUUCAAACAUGAAGGCACUACAAUUUUCCAGACCACCGAAGUUUUCAGCAUCUUUUGCUAUGUGCAGCAUUGCACGUGUGUUGUAAACGAGGAAUUCUUGUCCAUAAAGAUUCCGACCUUUUUCCACAAAAUAAUGCAGCAGUUCAUCUGCAUAUUUCGAGUGGUCCUGCACAAGACUUGGACAUACCAAAAUUAUCAUGGCUAUGCUAAAGGAAAGGAAGUGCAAAUACAUUUCAUCAGGCAGUAUACCCUUCAACACAAUCUUCCCAGUGUAAAGAAGGAACUGACGAAACUCAGUUGCUUUCCACCUGUCCAGUUCCUCAAGACCUCUAGGCUUUCACACAAAAGUAGAUGGGAUGCAUUUCCGAAGAGACCGCAGUCUUGCACUAAUCUCUGUGAUUUGGCUUGCUGAAACCCUCACAACUCUGUCUCCUCUGGUCCAGAUGUGCAGGAGUCUUUUCAUUACACCUAGACAAGCCUGGUGCAUGUAAUCAAUGGGAAAACUCUGCACCAUGUCUAUGGGGAGGUGAGACAGAGUGAAUCCCAUGAUUCAUCAGAUGAGCCAGUUUCCUUACUGUGUCUUCCAAAAAGCCAAGAUCUGUUGGUCGACUCACACCGCUUGUCAGAGCCGUGGGGAAAAUGGUGACUGGGUCUAACAUGACUGCACAAAGAACUGGCCACAUACAUGUUUUGGAACUCUUGUACAGUGGUAAGCCAUCAAUGUUGAAUGAUAAAUCAAGACAUUGGAGUUCUGCUAGAUCAGGAGGGUAAUUUUCUAGUGCUGUUUGUAAUUUCUCUGUUAGUGGAAAGUAAACGUAUUCCAUUCCAGAUAAUUGCUUUAUGUCAAGUUGCCGGGGAGUGUGCAAGAGAGUCCGGGCAGUCGAGGGUAAUUCAUUGUGUCCAUGCCUUUGUAGCAAUUUGAGCAGGUUGUCAAGUGCAUUAUGUUUUAUCUGGUAUUCACUGGCCCACGUGGACAGUUCUUUUGCCAGCGACAUGUCCCUACUGUCAUCUUCUGCUUGUUCUUCAAGGUCAGAAGCAGAGGAUACAUUCAAACUGUUAAUACCCUCCCAUGUCGCUGCUCUUGACUGUUCUUCCACAUUUGCAGAAUGCAAAUAGGGUUCAUUGUCAGAUGAACACUCUCCACAAAUCAUCUCCAUGUCAACAUCCUUUUGUGAUUGUUCUUCAAGUGGAAGAUCAAGUGAUUGUACUUCAGCUGGUAGAUUACUCUCCAGGUGGCAGUACCAACGAUGUUUCGUCCAGCAGUAAAUUACUGAAGAAGAAUACCGCCAACGUGACUAACGGAGGAACAAACCUAAGACAGGUAAGAAAACUGUAUAAUUGAUUCCAAGGGCAGACAUUUGUAUCAAAUGCAACCAAUAGUGGGGAAAGGAAGAGAAUCAGGUAGGAGCAGAGUGGAGGAGAACAAACACAAGGUUACGACAUACAAGAUCAAAUAGUAC